GAUGAAGAACGUAGCGAAAUGCGAUAAGUAGUGUGAAUUGCAGAAUUCAGUGAAUCAUCGAAUCUUUGAACGCACAUUGCGCCCCCUGGUAUUCCGGGGGGCAUGCCUGUCCGAGCGUCAUUGCUGCCCUCAAGCACGGCUUGUGUGUUGGGCCUCCGUCCUCCUCCCGGGGGACGGGCCCGAAAGGCAGCGGCGGCACCGCGUCCGGUCCUCGAGCGUAUGGGGCUUCGUCACCCGCUCUUGUAGGCCCGGCCGGCGCUUGCCGACACAUCAAUCUUUUUUCCAGGUUGACCUCGGAUCAGGUAGGGAUACCCGCUGAACUUAAGCAUAUCAAUAAGCUGAGGA
rnacentral:misc_RNA from 1 species